rnacentral:rRNA from 1 species
GAGGCCAAACUCAGGGGAUUGACGGAUGUGACGGUACCUGUAUAAGAAGCACCGGCUAACUACGUGCCAGCAGCCGCGGUAAUACGUAGGGUGCGAGCGUUGUCCGGAAUUACUGGGCGUAAAGAGCUCGUAGGUGGUUUGUCGCGUCGUCUGUGAAAUUCCGGGGCUUAACUCCGGGCGUGCAGGCGAUACGGGCUAACUUGAGUGCUGUAGGGGAGACUGGAAUUCCUGGUGUAGCGGUGAAAUGCGCAGAUAUCAGGAGGAACACCGAUGGCGAAGGCAGGUCUCUGGGCAGUUACUGACGCUGAGGAGCGAAAGCAUGGGUAGCGAACAGGAUUAGAUACCCUGGUAUUCCAUGCCGUAAACGGUGGGCGCUAGGUGUGAGUCCCUUCCACGGGGUUCGUGCCGUAGCUAACGCAUUAAGCGCCCCGCCUGGGGAGUACGGCCGCAAGGCUAAAACUCAAAGGAA